AUACGUAGGAUCCGAGCGUUGUCCGGAUUUACUGGGCGUAAGGGUGCGUAGGCGGUCUGUUAAGUUUCAUGUGAAAUCUCCCGGCUCAACUGGGAGGGGUCAUGGGAUACUGGCAGGCUUGAGGGCAGUAGAGGAGAGCGGAAUUCCGGGAGUAGCGGUGAUAUGCGUAGAUACCCGGAGGAACACCAGAGGCGAAAGCGGCUCUCUGGGCUGUCCCUGACGCUGAGGCACGAAAGCGUGGGGAGCAAACCGGAUUAGAAACCCCGGUAGUCC
rnacentral:rRNA from 1 species